GACGAACGCUGGCGGCGUGCCUAAUACAUGCAAGUAGAACGCUGAAGAGAGGAGCUUGCUCUUCUUGGAUGAGUUGCGAACGGGUGAGUAACGCGUAGGUAACCUGCCUUGUAGCGGGGGAUAACUAUUGGAAACGAUAGCUAAUACCGCAUAACAAUGGAUGACACAUGUCAUUUAUUUGAAAGGGGCAAUUGCUCCACUACAAGAUGGACCUGCGUUGUAUUAGCUAGUAGGUGAGGUAACGGCUCACCUAGGCGACGAUACAUAGCCGACCUGAGAGGGUGAUCGGCCACACUGGGACUGAGACACGGCCCAGACUCCUACGGGAGGCAGCAGUAGGGAAUCUUCGGCAAUGGGGGCAACCCUGACCGAGCAACGCCGCGUGAGUGAAGAAGGUUUUCGGAUCGUAAAGCUCUGUUGUAAGUCAAGAACGAGUGUGAGAGUGGAAAGUUCACACUGUGACGGUAGCUUAUCAGAAAGGGACGGCUAACUACGUGCCAGCAGCCGCGGUAAUACGUAGGUCCCGAGCGUUGUCCGGAUUUAUUGGGCGUAAAGCGAGCGCAGGCGGUUUGAUAAGUCUGAAGUUAAAGGCUGUGGCUCAACCAUAGUUCGCUUUGGAAACUGUCAAACUUGAGUGCAGAAGGGGAGAGUGGAAUUCCAUGUGUAGCGGUGAAAUGCGUAGAUAUAUGGAGGAACACCGGUGGCGAAAGCGGCUCUCUGGUCUGUAACUGACGCUGAGGCUCGAAAGCGUGGGGAGCGAACAGGAUUAGAUACCCUGGUAGUCCACGCCGUAAACGAUGAGUGCUAGGUGUUGGAUCCUUUCCGGGAUUCAGUGCCGCAGCUAACGCAUUAAGCACUCCGCCUGGGGAGUACGACCGCAAGGUUGAAACUCAAAGGAAUUGACGGGGGCCCGCACAAGCGGUGGAGCAUGUGGUUUAAUUCGAAGCAACGCGAAGAACCUUACCAGGUCUUGACAUCCCGAUGCUAUUUCUAGAGAUAGAAAGUUACUUCGGUACAUCGGCGACAGGUGGUGCAUGGUUGUCGUCAGCUCGUGUCGUGAGAUGUUGGGUUAAGUCCCGCAACGAGCGCAACCCCUAUUGUUAGUUGCCAUCAUUCAGUUGGGCACUCUAGCGAGACUGCCGGUAAUAAACCGGAGGAAGGUGGGGAUGACGUCAAAUCAUCAUGCCCCUUAUGACCUGGGCUACACACGUGCUACAAUGGUUGGUACAACGAGUUGCGAGUCGGUGACGGCAAGCUAAUCUCUUAAAGCCAAUCUCAGUUCGGAUUGUAGGCUGCAACUCGCCUACAUGAAGUCGGAAUCGCUAGUAAUCGCGGAUCAGCACGCCGCGGUGAAUACGUUCCCGGGCCU
rnacentral:rRNA from 1 species